CUUUUCCACAUCAAUCCUUAUUCCCCAGAGAGAGAGAGAGAGAGAGAGAGAGGGAGGAAUACUGCAAUGGGAAAAAGAAGAAGAGUCAACUGGCUACUUCCCAAUCACCAGUUUGAAUGUUUGACUGUAUAAUGGGCAGCAGCCAACCAUUGGCCUUCAUCAAUCUCUAGAAAGUCUCUGCCAAGACUUUUGAGGUCACAUAUGAAAGGAGGGCGGAAGUGGCGCGAAGCUGCCAACCACAAGUCAGGAACAUGAAAGAUACAAAUGUCUACAUACCCCCUUUCGAUCUUGUUCAUCCGACUCCCUAUCCCACCCACCGGAGCUGCAGAAAUGGAGCAUCCUAUCGCUGCAAGGACUCUUUCUUCCAUGUUCAUGGUUGUCCUCCUCUUGUCACCUCUCCUGAUCCUUCCAUCCGACUCGAGGGAAGUCCCAAGUCACACAGGUGAAGGAGGCACGGCGACUCUACGGAGCUUUGCGAGCUUGGCAAGACGGACAGAGUUUGCACCACCUUCGCCAACAGCUAACAGCAACGAUUCUCCUGGUACAGGCUGAUCCGAGUGAGGCCACGCAGCUUCUGCAACUACUGCUCUUCUUCUUCUUCUUGAUGCUGUGCUGUGUUUCAUCCUCACCAUGCCCUCCUGUUCAUCUUGUCUCUCUCCAUGAUGCUCGUCUUCAGUUUGGUGUGUGUGAACAAUAAGAGAGUCUUACAUGGUCAUAGUUCCUAUUUAUUCUGCUCA